GACGAACGCUGGCGGCGUGCUUAACACAUGCAAGUCGAACGGAAAGGCCCUGCUUUUGUGGGGUGCUCGAGUGGCGAACGGGUGAGUAACACGUGAGUAACCUGCCCUUGACUUUGGGAUAACUUCAGGAAACUGGGGCUAAUACCGGAUAGGAGCUCCUGCUGCAUGGUGGGGGUUGGAAAGUUUCGGCGGUUGGGGAUGGACUCGCGGCUUAUCAGCUUGUUGGUGGGGUAGUGGCUUACCAAGGCUUUGACGGGUAGCCGGCCUGAGGGGGUGACCGGCCACAUUGGGACUGAGAUACGGCCCAGACUCCUACGGGAGGCAGCAGUGGGGAAUAUUGCACAAUGGGCGGAAGCCUGAUGCAGCAACGCCGCGUGCGGGAUGACGGCCUUCGGGUUGUAAACCGCUUUCGCCUGUGACGAAGCGUGAGAGACGGUAAUGGGUAAAGAAGCACCGGCUAACUACGUG
rnacentral:rRNA from 1 species